UGUGAAACACAAAAUUCCACUAGUGGUCAAUAAGUCUUGUAAAUAAGGCCUCUCUGUUAGGUAAACAGACAGUUGGGUUUACAUUUUAAAAGCAAUAUGAUUCACUAAUAUGGUGAGUUGUUUUCCUGGGGAUCCCGCCCAACAUGGAAGACUGAGCCAAAAGGGUGUGUUUUUCCCAGACAGCUGGAUCCCUCCUUAAUCAUCUAGACCAAGGGCUGAAGAAAAACAGGACAGCAGGGACCGUCUAGACUGAGAAACUGAGGCCCAGAGAGGGGAAGAGGCUCGUCUGAAUGUCAUGCGAGCAGCAAGUGUCAGAGCCGGAAUUCACAGCCUUUUACAUCUCAGGAAAAGCCAAGCACUACGUGUGGUACCUAAGAGACACCUGAUAAAUGCUUGUUAAAUGAAAGAAUGAUGAGUGAAUAAAUUAAUGAGUAAAUAGGUGAAUCGCUGAAUGAAAAACUAACACAUGAAUGGAUGAAUGAAUCAAUGAAUAAAAAUUUAGUGAAUGAGUAAAUCAGUGAA